rnacentral:tRNA from 1 species
GGUGAGAUGGCUGAGGAUAAGGCAAUAAAUUGUAAAUUUAUGCACGAAAUAAAAAUUUCUUUCACCA